CCGGGGCCAGCGCGGCCGCAGCGGGGGCAGCGGCGGCUCCUGCGCGGCGGCGGCCCCGGCGCCCGGGCCCCCGGCCUGCGGCCCGCCCGAGAGCCCGGCCACAGGGCAGCAGGAGCCCGGGAGCACCACGGGCAGGGACAUGGACCGGCGGGGAAGGGAGCGGCCGGCGGCGGCGGCGAGGGGGGACGCGGCGCGGAGCGGCGGGCGCCGCGCACUGGGCACCGCGGGCGGACCCCGAGGCCGAGGGGGAGGGUAGGAAAUGAGCACGGCCCAACCACUUGCUGCCGCCGCCGCCGCCGCUGCCCCGGCUCCCGCCGGCCGCACCCACCUGCCACCCGGGCGUCCGCCUCCCGCCGGCCGCGGGCGCGCCCUCGCUCUCACCCACACACGCCCGCGCCGCGCGGCUGCUGCCGGCUCCGCGGCACCGCCGAACGCCCCGCUCCCCGGCGUCCGGGAAAGGCGCCCGGCCCCAAGUUUUUAAGGGAGUCGCUCGGGCUAGGAGAGACCUCGCAGUCUGGGCGCGUAGGAGCCGGUGGCGGAGGAUCUAACACGCUGUCCCCCACGCGCUGAGCUGGGGCUGGGCAGAGGCGCGGAAGAAGCGCCGCGGACCCUCGCCCCCUUCCAGUCCAGCCAAGAGAGACCCACUGGCCAGCGUAACGCAAAGGGAGCCCGGCUUUAAACUUUUUCCCCCUCCUGAGGGGGGGGAAGGCAGGAGGAGGGGUUGUGGGUGACUUGGUGGGAAAAGUCUAAGCCUCAGGGCUUCGGGGAAGGACGAGGCAGAGCGAAGUCACCACUCGCGUGAGGCUUCCGGGCGCUGACACUGCGCGUGGAAGGAGGGGGGAGGGGCGGGCGAGGAGGGGUGCGUUCCUGGCACCAGGGUAAGAGCCAGCGUCAGCGUGAGGUUACCUUGGAGGUGUCCAACAUCCAGAAAGAACUAACCGGGGGAUGGUCUGGCGCGCGGGGCAAAGGUUCCAAGGUGUCCGCCUCUCCUUGACUUGUGCGCUCUAUUAGGCAGCAUCUGGUGGAACGUAGAAUCCCAAACUUCCCGAAGAAAUAUCCUAAUAAAAUCCUAAUCUGGUUUUUGGUCAUUUAUAAGGCAUAUUUAGAGCUUAAAAAAAAUGAUUAGCCUUUGCAAAAGGAUUUUCUCUACGAAUACAUGCCCUUCUUUCCAAAGAUUCUUCUUAUGUAUUGAAAGUGUUCUUAUGCAUAAUGCCAUCAUAAUAGAUUUUUUUUCCGGGUUAAAAACAGGGCAGUGUCGCUUUGCUGCAAGUCAGUCUCUGUAUUUGGCAGUUCAUUUUGUAAGUAGAGUGAAGGUAUUUAACCUCCUGCCCAAUAAACCACGAGAAAUGUGUAUCCGUUUUUAUGCGCUGCUUGCAAAAGCUGUAUUUAUUUUGGUCUUACUUACUUCAACCCACAAUGUGAUGCACUGCCAAUGGGCAUGUGUGUUUACAUAUAUACUUUUUGAAUUAUUCAAGCAUCUGUGGUUAAUAGUCCCUAGGACUUCUUUUACAAAGUCUCCUUGGAAGUAAACUUCAAACUCCAUUUUCUGGAGAAAUGGGGAGCUAUAUUCUAUUCUAUUUUCGAGAGAGAGAGGGGGAGGGGCAGAGGGAGAAACAGAGAGAGAGGGAGAGACUCUUAAGCAGGCUUCAUGCUCAGUGGGGAGCCUGCCUCUGGGCUUGGUCCCAGGACCCUAGGAUCAUGACCUGAGCCAAAAUCAAGAGUCCCACACUCAACCAACUGAGACACCCAGGCACCCCAGGAACUGUAUUUUAAAAUAAAUGUUUAAAGUAUGUUGUUACAUGCACUUUAAAAAACAUCUUACAGUACAUGUUCUUAAAUUGCAGGUAAUGCUAAAAGUUUGUGUGUUUAGUUUAUACCUUUUAUUUUACAUGCAAGCCUGAAGGUAUUUAAUUUUUAAGAUUCUAUUACACCGUGCAAUAUAAAAAAAAAAAGUCUGAAUGAGUCUUGAGAAACUGUCAGCUUAAUGAAUCUACUCCGAUGGUCAAUCCUUGACACCUGAAAUGUACUAUUAAAAAUGUAUUGUUUCGGUCUGGGAAUGUUGGUGCUAGAACUUGGAUAUCCUCCUUCUCUGCGGAUGGUUAAUGACUAGAAAGAGAAGAGUUCCAGGGAAGCUGAUAACCAUCUGUUUCUUGCUGUGGGUGCUGGUUACAAGGGUGAGGUUCAUUUUGAGAAAAUUCAUGUAGUCACACUUUGCAUACUUCUCUGCAUUUUACACUUAAAUACUUUAAAGUAUUUCUAAGUACUUUCCCCUUAAAUUUUUAAAGUGAAUUUCCCUCUACAGGAGUCCUCCCUUAUCCACAGUUUCGGUUUCUGUGGUUUCAGUUACCCGCAGUCAACUGCUGUCCAAAGCAGAUGAUCCUCCUGACAGAGCAUCAGAAGGUCACUAGGAGCCUAGCACCAGGUCACAAUGCCGACGUCACUCACCUCACUUCUUCUCAUCCUGUAGGCAUUUUAUCUUCUCACAUCAUCACAAGAAGGCAACCAUUCAUGGAAGAGAGAAUCUCAGGCCCCCCAAAGAUUGAGUCAGAGGAUGGGCAUUACUGCCCAACAAGCUGCAGAAGAGACAAUAAAAGGGACUUGGCCUGGGUUCAUGUAGACUGAGCUGGACAUGCCCCCACGUACUGGGUUUUUCCAGACUGACACACCCUAACUGGAAAAUGUACAAAGUCACUGGAUCUGCUGUGUCUUAGCCAUUGACCUACUGAAGACCACACAGUCACCCCGGGGGCAAGAGGUGGGGUAUCCCCAGAAGGAGAAGGCACAACUACUGUCUGCCAUCCAGCGGGAGGGCCUUCCCGGGACAGGAAACGAGACCUGAGAAAAUGUGGAGCUUAGGUCCAGGAAGAGGAACACCACUUUGCUUGACUGUCCGCCAUGACCCAGCUUUGCGCACAUUAUUUCUAACCCUCGUAGAAUAGGUCAGGUCGAUCCUUGGCUUCACUGGGCCAGAAAGAAGAAGAAAGGGAAGGGUCAUUAUUCAUCUUUGUGCCUCCUGCACUCAUAGUCCCUAUUUGCCUUUCAACAGUCCAUAAGGAUUGCCGAAAAAUAGUUUCUCUGCAUGAAGUGUUAUGAUAUUAAAUCACUCUCCCAGCUCUUCUGAGCCAGUAAACAGCUGCCUUUCUGUUGGUCUGUGCAUUUGAAAGUUCUGUGCAUCCUGAAAGUUCUAUGCAUACUUACCAGCACACCUAGUUCUGAUUUAACAAAUUGGCAUCCUGACAUAAUGUCAGUCUUUUGUGCCAAACUCAUUUCUACUUUUGGAGUUUCAAAUGUGCUGUUCCCUCUACAAAGAACACUGUUCCAUGCCCCCCCUUAGUACCCAACUAAAAAUCAUACACGUCUCCUGGGACACUUCUGCCCAUCCCCAGACUACAAGUUGGAGCUCCUUUGUCCACGAGAUCAUCCUCAGCAUCCCCAUGGGCCACCCCAGAGACCACAGGAGAUUCCUGUCUAGACUCCGCAUGUUGGACACACCCAUAUUGUUGAGCGUGGUCAAGACAAGAUCUUUUUUGAAACACUGGAAGUUCCUGUUCAGCCCUACCAGCAACUGCUGAUAAGAGCAUGUAAUUCGUUCUACCAAUGAAGUGCAGCCAUGAGUCCUCCUUGCCUCCUCUCAAAAGCUAAGUCUGUCCAGACCAUCUCUGAAGCGCAAGGUUUGGUUAAGAAGGAGUUGGCUGUUUGUUUGUUCAGACCCUUUCCCCCAAAGCUCAAGAGCCCAAUAUAUGUCAGUUUGAAUGGAAGAGAUGAGCACUGGGUGUUAUAUGUAUGUGAUGAAUCACUAAAUUCUGCUCCUGAAAUCACUAUUACACUAUAUGUUAACCAACUUAGAUUUAAGCAAAAAAAAAAUUUAAAUUUUUUAGAAGAAAAUAAAACAUUUAGAACAUUAAAAAGAAAAAGGAUUCUUGGAUCUACCCCCAUAGACACAUCAGUCUCUAAAAAAUUAUUUUUUUAAGUAUCUAUACCUGCCAGGAUUUCUGACUUUAAGUAUGUUUUUAAUAUACUCUUUUAUUUUUUUUGUUGCAUUGGCUUUAUCUUAAAUAACAAAUGUAUUAAGUUAUAUGUACAUCACAUGAUUAUUAUUAAAUUAUUAGUUUAAUUAUUAAAUUAAAAAAUGAAUGGAAAGAGGUAUAUAUUGCCCACCAGAGAUAAGAAACAGUGAUGUAACCUGCCAGGACUUUUCUAUCUCAUGACAUUCCGCCAGGCUUGUCCCCAUGAUGGCAGACUGGACUGUAGAUACUCCGGCAUCUCAUCUUUACAACGUGCAGCCAAGAAAAGGAGAAUCCUUCCAUCUCUCCAACGACAAUGAUCCUUAGAAGGAUCAUGAUUAGGGGCUCCUGGCUCAAUCGGUUGAGCGUCCAGCUUCGGCUCAGGUCAUGAUCACGGUUCGUGAGUUCAAGCCCUGCAUAGGACUCUGUGCUGACAGCUGGGACCCUGGAGCCAGCUUCAGAUUCUGUGUUUCCCUCUCUCUCUGCCCUACCCCUGCUCACUCUUUGUCUCUCUGUCUCUCAAAAAUAAACAUUGAAAAAAAUUAGAAGGAUCGUGAUUAGUGCAGCAUGGCUGGUUUGUUCAUUCUUCAACCAAUGCCGGAAGCCAGGGCAAAUGAGUAUUUUAAUUGGCUAUGCUGGCUCAGAAUUCCUACUCUGUGUUUAAGAAGUACAGUCUUCACUGAAAAUAAAUAAAGGAGAGUGGAAUAUGCUAGACAAACAAAACCAAAGAGCUUCUACACUGCCUACCACGCCUUGGCGCAUCCCAUCUGUCUGUCACUUUGGUUUGCCAUCAGUCCUGCCUGCAACAGAACCUUCACGCCGCCCCCUUGAGAGUCAUCCCCCUGGUCACAGAAGCCCCCAGUACCUCCUGACCCCCAAGAAUAAACUAGUAUACUGUAUUCAUUGGACCAUUUCACGGCACUCUGGACUUUAGUUUGGAGAAGGGCGGGUCCCAGAUGAAAGGAAGAUAUUUGAUACUACUUACAUCCAUCACUCAAUACUAUAAUAACAUCGUGAGCCAGACAGCACACAGUUUCAGAAGAGAGCUCCAUAUCUGAACAUCAUCAUCUGAGUGAAAAAAGACAGCUCAAGAGGUGAAAGUUCCGUUAAGAAACAAGGGACAUGCAUGCCUUUUGGAGCACUGCCUUCUAGAAUCAUAGAGGAUUACACCUCAAGGACACUGUAGUCAUUCUCUAAGGCAGUGAUUCCCCAGCUAUAGGUCAAGAACCAUUUGGAUACCAUGUCCUAGGUGAAGACCAAAUAAAUAAAAUCUCAUAUGGAUAUUUUUCCAAAUGCACACAGGUAUGUUCACAGUUGAUAAAGAAGCAUUUAAAAGCCUUACUGACUUUACCUAAAAUUAACAGCUACUAAAAUACGCCUGCUAUCAUGUAAUGGUCAGAAAUAUUUGAACUUGAAAAGAAGCUCAGACAAUUCAAUUCUUGAGUACAAACCCAAGAAACGUGAGUGUUUAUGUCCAACAAAAGACCUGCACAAGAAUGAUCGUAGCAGCUUGUCUAUAAGAACUCCAAACUGGAAAGAACUCAAAUGGCCAUCAAGAGGAGAACAGAGAAAUAAAGUGUGAUAUUCGUGUGAUGGAACACUACCCUGCGAUGAAAAACAAUUAACUCUUGCGACUCUCAACAACGUGGAUAAUCUCAAAAACAUAACUUUGAGUAAAAGAAAAUGGGCAUUAAAAAGUUCAUCCUGCGUGAUUCCUUCUGUAUGAAUUUAGGAACAGACAACCCUAAUGGAUGCUGGUAGCAGUCAGAUAGUUGUCUGGCAGAGGUUGAGAGCAGUGCAUUGGCCCAGGGAGAGACACAUCAUUUAAAAAGGCUUCAGAGACACUGGAAUGUUUUAUAUCCUGAUGUAGAUGAUGAAGUCUCACAUGCAUACAUAAAAAAUUUAUCAAGCAAUGCAUGUAAGAUUUGUGUACAUUUCUGUACUAAGCUAUAAUAACCACAACAAAAAAGUCAAGAUACAUGAAAAAAUUGGGAACUCACCCAUUUAAAACUAAAAAUUAGACUCUAGGGGCACCUACGUGGCUCAGUCAGUUAAGCAUCAGACUUCAGCUCAGGUCACAAUCUCCCAGCCUGAGUUCAGCCCUGCGUCAGGCUCUGUGCUGACAGCUCAGAGCCUGGAGCCUGCUUCAAAUUCUGUGUCCCUCUCUCUCUGCCCUUCUGCUACUCACACUCUGUCUCUCUAGCUCUCAAAAAAUAAAUCAACAUUAAAAACAUUUUUUUAAUGGGUGCCUGGGUGGCUCAGUCAGUUAAGGGUCUGACUUUGGCUCAGGUCAUGAUCUCGUGGUUCAUGAGUUCGAGCCCCCUGUCAGGCUCUGUGCUGACAGCUUGGAGCCUGGAGCCUGCUUCCAAUUCUGUGCCUCCCUCUCUCUCUCUCUCUCUACCCCUCCCCCACUCAUGCUCUGUUUCGCUCAAAAAGUAAAUAAACAUUUUUUUAAAAAAUUUUUAAUAAAAAUUAAAUUCUAAUUAAAAUUUAAAAACAACAAUCUGAUCUUCCAAGAGGGUUUGACCACUAUUGCACAUUCAGUAGGAGAACAAAGAUUGUCCCUCAGGUCUCCUGAUCUCCCAGUCAGAGCUGUUUGUGUUUUGCUACAUUGAGGUUCUGCAUCUGUUGUACCUGUGAAGGUCACAAAUUCUGUUUCAACCUGAGCAGCAUGGUGACUUCUAGGUUCUUAGAGUCACUCUCAAACCUGGACACUGUAUAUGACAUAAAGACCCCUGAGACACCCCGAUGACUUAGAGGUAGGGUAGUUUGAUGAAGGGGCUGUGGAUGGCAAAUCUAGACAUCCUGAUCAUAUUGGCCUCCUUACUGCACCAGGGCCUUUGCACCUGCUGUUCCCUCUAUUUGGAAUGCUCUUCCCUCAGAUAUAUCUUGAGUCCUCAUUUCAUUUACUUCUUAGAGAAACAAGCCCACACCACCUUAUCAAAUGUAAUACUUCCUCUCCUCCUUCAUUCCCUAUCCCCAUGGUCUGGAUUUCUUCCUGACACUUAGCACCAUCUGACAUUACGUUGUUGUUCAUAUCCAUGACCAUAUGACAAAUAUAAGCAACACAAGGGUGGGAACUUUUUGUUGAAUAAGUUUAUAUUUUCAUCUCCUAGAACAUGCCUGGUAAAGAGGAAUCAAUAAACUUUUA